UUAUACAAUUAUUACUAAUUAAUAAUUUUAGGUUUUAUAGUUUGUUUUUAUUUUGAUUUUAUAUUAUAUAUUUUUAAGUGAAAUUUAAAUUUUCAUUAAUUUUGAUUUAUUAUCUAUGAAAUACAUUAUUUAAACUGGGAUUAGAUACCCCAUUAUUUUGUAUGUAAAAAUUUUUCCUGGGUAGUAAUAGUUAUGUUCUUUAAACCUAAAGAAUUUGGCGGUGUUUUAGUCUAAUUAGAGGAACUUGUCCCGUAAUCGAUAAUCCUCGUUUUAUCUUUCUUUAACUAGAAAUUCAGUAUGUAUACCGCCGUUAUAAGUUUAUGUUAUUAGAUUAAUAAUUUACUUAUUAUUUUAUAAGAUUUUAUUUCA
rnacentral:rRNA from 1 species